rnacentral:rRNA from 1 species
AGGACGCCGGCCGGUGGAUGCCUCGGCUCGGGCGCCGAGGAAGGACGUGGCAAGCUGCGAAAAGCCCCGGGUAGCCGCAUGCAGGCGUUGAUCCGGGGAUCUCCGAAUGGGAUCUCCUAGGGGUCGAGGCUUCGGCCUCGGCCUCUGAUCCCGGGCUUUGGCCUGGGAUCGGGAACCCCCCGAACGGAAACAUCCAAGUAGGGGGAGGAGAAGAAACCAAUAUGGGAUUCCCUGAGUACCGGCGAGGGAAAGGGGAGGAGCCCAAACCGAAUCCAUGGGGGAUAACCUCAUGGAGAUGUGGGGUGAUGGGCCUGGGGUCCACCCCAGCCCGCCGACCCGAAGUGCCCUGGAAUGGGCCGCCAAAGAGGGUGAUAGCCCCGUAGGGGAAGGCGGGAGGGGUGAUGCCCAGAGCCCUGAGUACCAUACCUUGGAUAUGGUGUGGGAAGUUGGGGGCCAUCGGCCUCCAAGGCUAAAUACGUCCCGAGACCGAUAGCGCACCAGUAGCGUGAGCGAAAGGUGCAAAGUACCCCGGGAGGGGGGUGAAAAGCGCCUGAAACCGGCCGGUAACAGACGAGCGCGGCCCUCAAGGAUAAUCCCUCCGAAGAUCCCUCACCAUGGGGAUCGAGGGGGGAUACCGGGGUCGCGCGCUCCGUCUUGAAACACGGGCCGGGGAGUGCACGGUCGUGGCGAGCUUAAGGGCUCACCAAGGCCCGUAGGCAUAGGGAAACCGACUUGCCCGCAGGGGAGUUUCAUGCUCUCCGAGGGGCGGGGUCUGAAAGGGCCUGAAGUCACGGCCGUGCGGCUAGAAACCGGGCGAUCUAGCCCUGGGCAGGGUGAAGCCGGGGGAAACCCCGGUCGAGGCCCGUAAGGGGUCCUGACGUGCAAUUCGGUCCCCUGACCUGGGGCUAGGGGCUAAAAACCAAUCUAGCCCGGUGAUAGCUAGUUCCCCCCGAAGUGUCUCGCAGGACAGCCCCGGGCGAGGCCGCCCACGGGGUAGAGCACCGAUAGGGGGGUAAGGGGGCGAAAGCCCCCGCCUCCCUUUCGAACUCCGAAUCCGUGGGCGCCGUAGACCCCGGGAGUGGGGGAUAGGGGGUAAGCUCCUAUCCCGAGAGGGGAACAACCCAGACCUGGGGUUAAGGCCCCUAAGUGCCCGCUAAGUGGACAAACCAAAGGGCGUCUCCAGCCUAAGACAGCGGGGAGGUAAGCUCAGAAGCAGCUAUCCUCUAAGGAGUGCGUAACAGCUCACCCGCCGAGGCUGGGGGCCCCGAAAAUUGACGGGUCUAAGCGGGCCGCCGAAACCCCGGGCCACCCAGCGGAAGGCUGGGUGACGGUAGGGGGGCGUAGCGGCUGGGCAGAAGUCGGGCCGUGAGGUCCGGUGGACCGGCCGCUAAUGUAGAUCCCGGUGGUAGUAACAGCGAAGAGGGGUGAGAAUCCCCUCCGCCGUAGGGGCAAGGGUCUCCCGGCAAUGCGUCGUCAGCCGGGGGUAAGCCGGUCCUAAGGCCGACCUUAACCGGGUAGGCCGAAAGGGAAACCGGUUAAGAUUCCGGUGCCACGGGGGUAGGGCCGCU